GACGAACGCUGGCGGCGUGCUUAACACAUGCAAGUCGAACGGAAAGGCCCUGCUUUUGUGGGGUGCUCGAGUGGCGAACGGGUGAGUAACACGUGAGUAACCUGCCCUUGACUUUGGGAUAACUUCAGGAAACUGGGGCUAAUACCGGAUAGGAGCUCCUGCUGCAUGGUGGGGGUUGGAAAGUUUCGGCGGUUGGGGAUGGACUCGCGGCUUAUCAGCUUGUUGGUGGGGUAGUGGCUUACCAAGGCUUUGACGGGUAGCCCGCCUGAGAGGGUGACCGGCCACAUUGGGACUGAGAUACGGCCCAGACUCCUACGGGAGGCAGCAGUGGGGAAUAUUGCACAAUGGGCGGAAGCCUGAUGCAACAACGCCGCGUGCGGGAUGACGGCCUUCGGGUUGUAAACCGCUUUCGCCUGUGACGAAGCGUGAGUGACGGUAAUGGGUAAAGAAGCACCGGCUAACUACGUG
rnacentral:rRNA from 1 species